GAUGAACGCUAGCGGCAGGCCUAACACAUGCAAGUCGAGGGGCAGCACGAGAUAGCAAUAUUUUGGUGGCGACCGGCGCACGGGUGAGUAACGCGUAUGCAACCUACCUCUAACUGGGGGAUAGCCCGGAGAAAUUCGGAUUAAUACCCCAUAACAUCAUGAAUUCGCAUGUUUUUAUGAUUAAAACUCCGGUGGUUAGAGAUGGGCAUGCGUGCCAUUAGCUAGUUGGUAAGGUAACGGCUUACCAAGGCUACGAUGGCUAGGGGGCCUGAGAGGGUAAUCCCCCACACUGGUACUGAGACACGGACCAGACUCCUACGGGUGGCAG
rnacentral:rRNA from 1 species